rnacentral:tRNA from 1 species
AGGCUUAUAGUUAAAUGGUUAAAACGUUCCGCUCAUAACGGUAAGAAUGUAGGUUCAAUUCCUACUAAGCCUA